rnacentral:rRNA from 1 species
UACGUAGGAUGCAAGCGUUGUCCGGAAUUAUUGGGCGUAAAGAGUUCGUAGGUGGUUAUCUAAGUCUGGUGUUAAAGACGGGAGCUCAACUCCCGCAUGGCAUCGGAAACUGGAUGGCUAGAGUGUGAAAGAGGUAACUGGAAUUCCCGGUGUAGCGGUGAAAUGCGCAGAUAUCGGGAAGAACACCCGUGGCGAAGGCGGCUCUCUGGGACGGUACUGACGCUGAGGAGCGAAAGCGUGGGGAGCGAACAGG